rnacentral:rRNA from 1 species
AACGAACGCUGGCGGCGUGGAUAAGACAUGCAAGUUGAACGGUUUUCACUAAGUAGCAAUACGGUGUGAAAGCAGUGGCGAAAGGGUGCGUAACGCGUGGGUAAUUUUCCGCAAGAUUUGGAAUAACGCGCUGAAAGGCGCGCUAAAUACCAAAUGUGUUUGCCCGCUAUCGAGCGGGCAAAAAAAGCUGGGGACCUUCGGGCCUGGCGUCUUGCGAUAAGCCCGCGACCUAUCAGCUAGUUGGCGAGGUAACGGCUCACCAAGGCAAUGACGGGUAGCUGGUCUGAGAGGACGACCAGCCACACUGGAACUGAGACACGGUCCAGACACCUACGGGUGGCAGCAGUCGAGAAUUUUUCACAAUGGGCGAAAGCCUGAUGGAGCGACGCCGCGUGGGGGAUGAAUGGCUUCGGCCCGUAAACCCCUGUCAUUUGCGAUCAAUGUUUGACCGUUAACAAUGGCCAAACUGAUAGUAGCAGAAGAGGAAGGGACGGCUAACUCUAGUGCCAGCA